UGAAAUUUCACAUGUGAAUUUGGAACAUGUGAUUUUUCACGUCUGAAAUUUUCCCAUGUGAAAUUAUGUUUCACAUGUUCCAAUUUCACAUGUGAAACAUUU